GUCUCGCGCACCGCCGAGAGUCAGAACAGAGCUCUCGGGGCGCGGGAGGUGGUAGGCGUGCCGCGGGUAGAGGGGGCGCUCAGCAGCUUGUGGGAGGCCAGGCUGGCCCCUUAGCCUGAGAGUCGACUGGCCGAGGAGGCGAGGAGGGGCCCUUCGUCCGCUCCCCCUCGGAGCUCUUCCAGAAUACCUGAGUUCGCUCAGGGCCGCGAGCCCGAGGGUCCCGCGCGGCCCUCCUACCCCUCGGCAGCCCUCGGCCGCCGGGACCUCGCCAGGCGUGGCAGGCUGGGCGACACCCCGGCUGGGGGACCGUGUCCCGCAGCCCCAAUGCCGCCGCGAGCAGAGUGGAGUGGCUGCAGGUGGUUGGAAGCGUGGAGGUGUCCCCCGGUGGCGAGUGCGCCCAGGACACCGGUCUCUGACAAGUUUUGUGCGCGCGCGUUGCAGGGACAGUGUGUGUGAGUCUGGCAUUGGGUAUUUUGUCCCAGUGCUGAGAAAAAUGACGAAGACACCCUCUCACAUGAUGAGGACGUCUCUGGAGCCACUUUGCAGACUGGAACUCAGACAAUGAUCAGCCAGACCCUUGCCCGCCCACCCCAGCAGCCCAGAGAAAACUUGCCCGUUCCUUUGUCAAUGGACCAGUCUGAUAAUCUCCAGUGUGUGCCCCUUCAGCUUUUCUGGGCCUGAAGUCCCUUUCCCGUUUUUUUCUGUCUUCUUAAUUAAAGCUUUGCCUGCAUUCUCUCUCA